GGUUUAAUUCGAUGCAACGCGAAGAACCUUACCUGGUCUUGACAUCCACGGAAGUUUUCAGAGAUGAGAAUGUGCCUUCGGGAACCGUGAGACAGGUGCUGCAUGGCUGUCGUCAGCUCGUGUUGUGAAAUGUUGGGUUAAGUCCCGCAACGAGCGCAACCCUUAUCCUUUGUUGCCAGCGGUCCGGCCGGGAACUCAAAGGAGACUGCCAGUGAUAAACUGGAGGAAGGUGGGGAUGACGUCAAGUCAUCAUGGCCCUUACGACCAGGGCUACACACGUGCUACAAUGGCGCAUACAAAGAGAAGCGGCCUCGCGAGAGCAA
rnacentral:rRNA from 1 species